AUUGAACGCUGGCGGCAGGCCUAACACAUGCAAGUCGAGCGGAUGAAGGGAGCUUGCUCCUGGAUUCAGCGGCGGACGGGUGAGUAAUGCCUAGGAAUCUGCCUGGUAGUGGGGGAUAACGUCCGGAAACGGGCGCUAAUACCGCAUACGUCCUGAGGGAGAAAGUGGGGGAUCUUCGGACCUCACGCUAUCAGAUGAGCCUAGGUCGGAUUAGCUAGUUGGUGGGGUAAAGGCCUACCAAGGCGACGAUCCGUAACUGGUCUGAGAGGAUGAUCAGUCACACUGGAGCUGAGACACGGUCCAGACUCCUACGGGAGGCAGCAGUGGGGAAUAUUGGACAAUGAGCGAAAGCCUGAUCCAGCCAUGCCGCGUGUGUGAAGAAGGUCUUCGGAUUGUAAAGCACUUUAAGUUGGGAGGAAGGGCAGUAAGUUAAUACCUUGCUGUUUGGACGUUACCAACAGAAUAAGCACCGGCUAACUUCGU
rnacentral:rRNA from 1 species